UAGACCUCAGAUCAGGUAGGA
rnacentral:rRNA from 1 species